GGGUACUGGGACUGAGACACGGUCCAGACUCCUACGGGAGGCAGCAGUGGGGAAUAUUGCACAAUGGGGGAAACCCUGAUGCAGCCAUGCCGCGUGUGUGAAGAAGGCCUUCGGGUUGUAAAGCACUUUCAGCGAGGAGGAAAGGUUGGUACCUAAUAACUGCCAACUGUGACGUUACUCGCAGAAGAAGCACCGGCUAACUCCGUGCCAGCAGCCGCGGUAAUACGGAGGGUGCAAGCGUUAAUCGGAAUUACUGGGCGUAAAGCGCACGCAGGCGGUUGGAUAAGUUAGAUGUGAAAGCCCCGGGCUCAACCUGGGAAUUGCAUUUAAAACUGUCCAACUAGAGUCUUGUAGAGGGGGGUAGAAUUCCAGGUGUAGCGGUGAAAUGCGUAGAGAUCUGGAGGAAUACCGGUGGCGAAGGCAACC
rnacentral:rRNA from 1 species